AAGAGCAAAGGAUGAUCUAGCGAUUCGUGACGGAACUCCGGACAUCGUUAAGUCUGUGCAGAAGGAAGAGCAUAUCAACAUGUACUCCAUUGAUAUGGGGCUGUCGUUGCCGUCGAAGGUGUUGAUCCCUCAGCGCUAUGUGGAGCUGGAGCCUGAGAGACUGACACCAGAACAGCUGCAGGAACGCAAGCACAAGGCUGACAGCAUCAAGAAGAUGCUGCUCCACUCCGAGACCUCAAACAUGAGCAGGCCUGAUCAGGAGCCAGGCAUCGCCAGCAGCAGCAGCAGCAGCAGCACAGCAGACCCGA